AGCGAACGCUGGCGGCAGGCUUAACACAUGCAAGUCGAGCGGGCAUCCUUGUGGUGUCAGCGGCAGACGGGUGAGUAACGCGUGGGAACGUGCCCUUCGGUUCGGAAAAACUCAGGGAAACUUGAGCUAAUACCGGAUACGUGCGAGAGCAGAAAGGUUUAUCUGCCGAAGGAUCGGCCCGCGUCUGAUUAGCUAGUUGGUGAGGUUAUGGCUCACCAAGGCGACGAUCAGUAGCUGGUCUGAGAGGAUGAUCAGCCACACUGGGACUGAGACACGGCCCAGACUCCUACGGGAGGCAGCAGUGGGGAAUAUUGGACAAUGGGGGCAACCCUGAUCCAGCCAUGCCGCGUGAGUGAUGACGGCCUUAGGGUUGUAAAGCUCUUUUCUCCGGGACGAUAAUGACGGUACCGGAGGAAUAAGCCCCGGCUAACUUCGUG
rnacentral:rRNA from 1 species